GGGUUGUGAGGUUAAGCGACUAAGCGUACACGGUGGAUGCCCUGGCAGUCAGAGGCGAUGAAGGACGUGCUAAUCUGCGAUAAGCGCCGGUAAGGUGAUAUGAACCGUUAUAACCGGCGAUUUCCGAAUGGGGAAACCCAGUGUGACUCGUCACACUAUCAUUAACUGAAUCCAUAGGUUAAUGAGGCGAACCGGGGGAACUGAAACAUCUAAGUACCCCGAGGAAAAGAAAUCAACCGAGAUUCCCCCAGUAGCGGCGAGCGAACGGGGAGGAGCCCAGAGCCUGAAUCAGCAUGUGUGUUAGUGGAAGCGUCUGGAAAGGCGCGCGAUACAGGGUGACAGCCCCGUACACAAAAGCGCAUGUGCUGUGAGCUCGAUGAGUAGGGCGGGACACGUGGUAUCCUGUCUGAAUAUGGGGGGACCAUCCUCCAAGGCUAAAUACUCCUGACUGACCGAUAGUGAACCAGUACCGUGAGGGAAAGGCGAAAAGAACCCCGGCGAGGGGAGUGAAAAAGAACCUGAAACCGUGUACGUACAAGCAGUGGGAGCCCCACCACCAAAGCAUUCUCUGGUGUUGAAGGCCCUGCAAAGCAGCAUCGCGGUGGCGGAGCGUCGUUUGCGACGCCCAACACACAAAACAAGCGGUGAGUGCUUUGGGGUGGGGUGACUGCGUACCUUUUGUAUAAUGGGUCAGCGACUUAUAUUCUGUAGCAAGGUUAACCGAAUAGGGGAGCCGAAGGGAAACCGAGUCUUAAUUGGGCGUUAAGUUGCAGGGUAUAGACCCGAAACCCGGUGAUCUAGCCAUGGGCAGGUUGAAGGUUGGGUAACACUAACUGGAGGACCGAACCGACUAAUGUUGAAAAAUUAGCGGAUGACCUGUGGCUGGGGGUGAAAGGCCAAUCAAACCGGGAGAUAGCUGGUUCUCCCCGAAAGCUAUUUAGGUAGCGCCUCGUGAAUUCAUCUCCGGGGGUAGAGCACUGUUUCGGCUAGGGGGCCAUCCCGGCUUACCAACCCGAUGCAAACUGCGAAUACCGGAGAAUGUUAUCACGGGAGACACACGGCGGGUGCUAACGUCCGUCGUGAAGAGGGAAACAACCCAGACCGCCAGCUAAGGUCCCAAAGUCAUGGUUAAGUGGGAAACGAUGUGGGAAGGCCCAGACAGCCAGGAUGUUGGCUUAGAAGCAGCCAUCAUUUAAAGAAAGCGUAAUAGCUCACUGGUCGAGUCGGCCUGCGCGGAAGAUGUAACGGGGCUAAACCAUGCACCGAAGCUGCGGCAGCGACGCUGAUGCGUUGUUGGGUAGGGGAGCGUUCUGUAAGCCUGUGAAGGUGGCCUGUGAGGGUUGCUGGAGGUAUCAGAAGUGCGAAUGCUGACAUAAGUAACGAUAAAGCGGGUGAAAAGCCCGCUCGCCGGAAGACCAAGGGUUCCUGUCCAACGUUAAUCGGGGCAGG
rnacentral:rRNA from 1 species